rnacentral:rRNA from 1 species
UACAGAGGGUGCAAGCGUUUAAUCGGAAUUACUGGGCGUAAAGCGUGCGCAGGCGGUUUUGUAAGCCAGAUGUGAAAUCCCCGGGCUUAACCUGGGAAUGGCAUUUGGGACUGCAAGGCUUGAGUGCGGCAGAGGAGACGUGGAAUUCCUGGUGUAGCAGUGAAAUGCGUAGAUAUCGGGAGGAACACCGAUGGCGAAGGCGGCCUACGUGGGCCAGCACG